rnacentral:lncRNA from 1 species
GCUUGCUUGCUAAUAGGCCUAUCCGUAGGGUGAAGUUACUUUGAGAGUGAAAGAAAUACAAAGGAUAAAGACAGUAAAAAUGGUCAUUCAGCAUUAAAUGGCUUUCUGUGUCUUCCACAGUCUGCGAGUAGCAGCAACGUGGUGGGUCUUCAGUGAAACACGGGCGCAUCUUUUCACCCUAGCGCCAUGUGUUACAGUUUAGCAAACGUUACGGUUUCGUCAAGAAAGAAACCCGUUUGGAUGAUGCCAUCCAGCACCAGCUCUGGGACCUUGUUUGAAUAGGGUCAUGUCGCCUCGGAUCGAGACGAAAGUGUUGCUGCUAUGACGUGUCAGCCACAGUUGCUUCUGUUGUGUGCCAGCAAGUGUGAAGAUGCCGGAAACAAGGAGAGGUGUAACGAUGAGGGAGGAGUGCUUGUCUAUUGAUGCUUUGAAGCCGUCGUUGCACGUAUAAUGUGGGAAGUUCUCUGUGCCGUGCACACUCGGGGAGUGAAGUCGGGUUAGCGGGAUUACGCAAGAGGAAAAGUAUGUGUCUUGCUAUGCUUAUCAUCGUCGCUGUCUCUGAACACAACUGGUGUAGAGAAUCCUAGUUUCGCUUCGACGGAGUGCAUUCGAGCUGCGGGAACGCAAACGUCUCUGUGGGGGUUACAACCCGACUGACUGAUGCUGCGUUAUUUGGGUGUGAGAGUUGCAUCAAACCAAAAAGCCGGUGCGCUCCAUAGUGUGAAGCAAGAGGCAGGAGCGUUGCAGACUUUCGCGACAGGCAAGUACGUCGGAGGAGCACAUUGCAAGGUGAAUUCAUUAACACGACUACGGAGACUCCAGAGCCAGUGAGUGGAACUGUUUUUUGUGGCACUUUGUCAUAUCUGUUCGGUAAUCUUGCUGGAUGUGAAACUGCGUGUCCGUGUGACAGAGCAGCGAUCGCAAUCAUAAGGUUCCGCAAUCAAGCGCAGAUGUGACUUCACUUCUCGCGAGGUCAUGCUCGAGAAGAAAGUUUCAUGCAGUGAAGGUGGUUCAUUCCCAGUACUUUAUUCUGUGGGGAGCGACAGAAGGCACCUGCCAACCGUUUCACUUGCCACCUCCGUGGCACGUGGCCAUCCUAGCA